rnacentral:rRNA from 1 species
UUCUUCUUGAAUUUUUUGGGAAGUAUGACCUGCCCACUGAAGUAAAAAUUGAAGGGCCGCGGUAUUUUGACCGUGCAAAGGUAGCAUAAUCAUUAGUCUUUUAAUUGGAGGCUGGAAUGAAUGGUUGGACGAAAUAUAAACUGUCUUAAUUGUAUUGGUUUGAGAAUUUAACUUUUGGGUUAAAAGGCUCAAGUUUUUUCAUGGGACGAGAAGACCCUAUAGAGUUUAACGUUUUAUUUUAUAAAUGUGUUUUGAUUAGUUAGUUGAAUAUGGUGUUCGUUUUGUUGGGGUGAUGGCGAGAUAGGUAAAACUCUCGUUUGUUUAGUUAAUAAUGAUUUUUAUUAUGUAGAUCCAGUAUUAUUGAUUAUAAGAUAAAAUUACCUUAGGGAUAACAGCGUAAUCUUUUUGGAGAGUUCAAAUCGAUAAAGGGGGUUGCGA